UGUCUCUGUACCUUGUCUCUGUCUACUUAUUAUUAUUAUUUCUUUACAGCUGGUGACCAACUUUGGGGCAUGAGAAGAGUUCUCUCUCCAAAAGUCCUCCUAGUCCACAGAGAGUUUGGGACAAUACAAUCCACCUUAAUAAAGACCCUUCUGAACAUUGACAGGAAAAUCCCACUAAACAAAAGGACAAUGAUCACUCUCCUCGAAAAGGAAGAUACACUGAAAGAGGAUCCCAAGCUACCAGACUUCCAGUGACGUGGGGGAUUACAAAAUCAUUAACAGCAUCAGCUCAACGGCUGUUGGCUCAAAUGGAAUUAAAAUGUACUCCAGAAAACUUAGUUACUGCUUUAAUUGAUAAAUUCACACAAAACUUGGUAAAUGCUUUGGUCUUAAUAAGAAUGUUGUUCUCUUGUUGUACCCCAGCCGUGGGAAAUUCAGUACAGACUCCUUGACUUCUAAAACCCAUUAUAAUAUCUGGGUUCACUUGGCUAAAAUUGCUAUAUACCUGCAAAAAUGUCUCAUGGUACACAAAUUGUCUUAACAGACUAACUGUGUUCUCACCAACCCCACAGUAUUUAAUAGGUCACCAUCCUGUGCAAUGUAUCCAUAAAGGUCUAUUCCCCUUGAUAAAAACUGCGAUAAUUCAAUAAACCUUCUCUCUAAAGCAAAGUUUAACAUUUUCCUUAGUGAGUAUCCCUGGACUAGCUGUCAGGGCUUCCAAAACAAUUAUAAAACUGUCCUGUGCUAUGGUAAAAAAAAUAUUAAUCAUACCUGUAUGGCAAUUAAUAUGCCUAAUGUAGAACAAGAACAUCAUCAAGCCAUAUUUGACAACUGAGUUGCAAUUGAUUUUUUUCUUAUUAUUACAUCAUAAAAGAUGUCAGGAGUUUAAUAAUAUAUGUUACUUCAUUUUAAGUGAUAAUAAUAAUUCUAUCUCAAAGGAGUUUUACUCCUUUGAAGAUAUCAUUAUAAGGGUCCAACAAGAUGAUAGAGGUUUAGACUUAUUAGAUUGGCUAAAUUCAUGGUUACCAACUUUACUUGGGUUAAUUAUUUAUAGGUAGAUGUUUAUUAAUAUUGGGAUUAUUACGUUGUGCUUGCUGUUGCCAAUGUUUACCCUAUUUUUUGCCCCCACCAACAUUUAAAAAAAAAGAAAAGAAACAUUAUUUAUCUGAAAGUCCUUAAAAAAACAAGAAAGGGGAGCUGUGGGGGUUCUAUGUUUGGGAUUGCAGUCCCUGAUGACUUCAUGGUAGUGGCACGCUUGGUGCCUGGGAAAGUUUCUCUGCAAAGGCAUAGGAUGCCUGGUUGCUAUGGUAAUUUCCUCCAUGCUAGAGUCUUAUCAAGUUCGACCUUAAUCUUAGGCACAUAAUUCGUGGGAAUAAAGGAUCUUGUCUGCUUGAUAACUACAAUGUUUCACCAAGCUCUGGUACUCCUGGAUCUGCCUGCUUAACAAUAACUUCAACAAUGAACCUUCUUGAAAACUGUGCAAAGCUCCUGACGUUGCAUACUGUAACUGUGAAAUCUAACUGCAGAAUAAACAACCUUACUGAUACUUUAGACAAUAAUUAGCUAUGGUACUAAUGACCUAAUGUAACCUAUUGGUAAAUAAACGUGGCCACUUGGACAAAGAGCCAGUCUGCCACCUUCCCUGUCUCUGAA